UACAGAGGUCUCAAGCGUUGUUCGGAUUCAUUGGGCGUAAAGGGUGCGUAGGCGGCGCGGUAAGUCGGGUGUGAAAUCUCGGGGCUUAACUCCGAAACUGCAUUCGAUACUGCCGUGCUUGAGGACUGGAGAGGAGACUGGAAUUUACGGUGUAGCGGUGAAAUGCGUAGAUAUCGUAAGGGGGGCCUGUGGCGGCGGCGGGUCUCUGGACAGUUCCUGACGCUGAGGCACGAAGGCCAGGGGAGCAAACGGG
rnacentral:rRNA from 1 species